GCCAGUGUGGUACAGUGGUUUGAGUGUUGGGCUACAAUUCUGGAGACCAGAGUUCAAUUCCCUGCUCAGUCA
rnacentral:tRNA from 1 species